AUACUUACUUGGCAGGGGGGAUGCCAUGAUCUCGGGGACGGUUUUCCCGGGGCAAGGCUUAUUCAUUGCACUCCAGGUGUGCUGACCCCCACAAUUUCCCCAGGUGUGGGAGGUUCGACUGCAUGAUUUGUGGUGGUGGGGGACUGCGUUCGCUCUCUCCCCUG